ACAAGCCAUGCAUGCCCGCACACCCGGGAGGCGGCGGACGGCUCAGGACAACGGUUGCACCCCCCGCGGCGGUCCCUGCUAGCCGGACACCGCUGGCAACCCGGCGCCAAGACGUGCGCGCAAGUGCGGGCGCCCGCGGG
rnacentral:rRNA from 1 species